UACGAAGGGGGCAAGCGUUGUUCGGAAUUACUGGGCGUAAAGAGCGCGUAGGCGGCUUAUCAAGUCAGGCGUGAAAUUCCCGGGCUCAACCUGGGGGCUGCGCGUGAUACUGAUGAGCUUGAAUGCGGGAGAGGAUAGUGGAAUUCCCAGUGUAGAGGUGAAAUUCGUAGAUAUUGGGAAGAACACCGGUGGCGAAGGCGGCUAUCUGGCCCGUAAUUGCCGCUGAGGCGCGAAAGCGUGGGGAGCAAACAGG
rnacentral:rRNA from 1 species